GAAGGGGAAAGAAGUAGGCCUUGCUCUAACAGCAUAGCUCUUGUCUCUGCAAAUCCAUUGAUGUCUAAAUUUAGGGGCCAGUGUGGCCUGGACCAAUGUCCAGCUGACAAACUGCUUGUGAGUUGCUUAUAUUUUGGCUAUAAUUGUUUGCUGUCUGUGCCCUCCAAGCAUUUAAUUACACACUUCAGUAAUUUUAGCAUAUGGCAUGAUUAAUGAGUAAUUUAAGUAAUUCCUCAUGUUGCCAGCACUCUAGCUGGUUGCAUUUGUAAAAUCCUCUAUACACAAGCAGGAGUGUAGUUGGGUGAAUUAUUUAGGGUCGUGCCUUUCCUUAUGUUCCUUUUAAACUGUACCUAGAGCUGGCAGCUCUGCAGUGUGUGGUUGCCUUUUAAAGCAGAGGCUCUGUUCCUGUGCGGACUGAAGUUACUGCAAAGGGCAGUUCUCGCUGCUGCCUGGGCUGCAGCUCCUGGGGGCCAGCCCGGAGGUGGUGUGGGAAGAUGCUGGUGCCACACGCACAUCCCUCGCUUUCCUGGAGGUCGUGCGAAGCCGGAAGAAAACACAAUCUCAUUCCCAGUCGCUGGAUUGCAGCCCCUCAAUUCCCACAGCAACCGGCUGGGAGGGUUAAUGGCACGGAUUGACUCCGCUUGUGGUAGGAGAGGGCAGGAGAAGAGCAGGGCAGUGGAUGGGAUGGGCAGCCCUCACCCGAAGGGUGGCCUGGAAGCCUGCCCAGGAGCAGCUGCUGGCAGGCGGCUCCAGCCUGAAGGGCCAGCUUUGAUCUGCAAUUAAAGACCAGAGAAAGAGAAAGUAAAACUUCGUUUUCUCUUUUUUUUCCUGAAGCAGCGUGGAUUUGUGCUGCCUGCCUGUCUGGCAGCAGGGCACGGAGGUUGGCAUGGGGGCUGCCUGUGGGGUCCUGCAUGCCCCCUUCCUCUUAGUGGACAGCCUAUCAAAUACGUAAGUUCCAUUUCAUUGGUGUGGGUAGGAAUAUCCUCACUGGAAAGCAGCAUUUGGGAAGACUCCAUUGCAGACUCCUGCUAACCCAUCUUCCUACUUAACAAUGAACAGAAGAAUCCUCUUUGCUUCCACAAUGGCUUCAUUUGAGUCCAUGACAGUGGACGCCUUGCAUCUGCUUAUGCCCUUAAGCUGCUUCCUGACAGCAUCCCCGUUUCUCCUGCUGCUGCCUGUAUUUUUUUCCAUGUGUGCUGGGAGCAGUGAGGGACUCCAGGCAGGAUCUGCUGCUUCUGUGUGGGCAUGUGGGAGAGGAAAAGCAAACAGCAAGAUGCAAGUGUGAAGGUUUUUUCCCAUGCCUUGGCGUUUCCUGCCCCAGUGAUGUUGCUUCUCAUGGGGAAACGGCGUAUGUUGCAGAGCCGCAGGGCAAGGGGAGAUGCUGUGAUAGCGUGAAAGCUUGCAUCCUUCUCCUCCUCUUCUGGCUGUGAAGAUUUCAGACCUGUGCUGCCCUCCAGCCUGAGCAGAGGAGCAGGGAUCAUUCCAGUUGAUGCUGGUUGGAGCUGGGAGCACCAGGAGGAGGAUGUGGUGCCAGAGCUGGGAGGAGGCAGCUCUGGGAGGAAGUGCUCCAGAAUUCAUGACUACUCCCUCCCUUACCCACCCUGGGGCUGUGCAAGUUGGAGAAAUUCCCUUCAGGUCAUUUUGGUUUUUUCCGCCGAGGCCAUCACACCCAGCUCCUGCCUCAUAAUCCUCACAGCCUCCUGUGAGUUAAUACCUGAUUUGGAAAAUAAAGUCUGGAGAGCCUCAUGUGCUGAGCAGCAGAAGUUUGCAUGCCCGCAUCCCAUCUCACUCCAGUCCCCAGCUCCCUGGGGGCAAGGGACAUUGAGAAAUUGGGACCAUUUUUGCAUAGGCCACUGGAUGCAACCUGAGACGAGGUGACAGAGGUGGCAUUUGAGAGGGCAUGAUGCAAGCCCAGCCCAAGCAAGACGACACCGUCCAGCAGUCUGGAUGCUGUGUAUGACCCUACCUUUUUUUUUCUUUAUGAACCGUCUCCACUCCAGUACAGAACGUCCUCUGACUUCUGAAGUAUUUGUAGUAUUUCCACGCCCUCAGUUGCCAAAAAAACUUCUAUUAAAAGCCACUCUUUUUUUU